rnacentral:rRNA from 1 species
AGUGAACGCUGGCGGUAGGCCUAACACAUGCAAGUCGAACGGCAGCACAGGAGAGCUUGCUCUCUGGGUGGCGAGUGGCGGACGGGUGAGGAAUACAUCGGAAUCUACCCUGUCGUGUGGGAUAACGUAGGGAAACUUACGCUAAUACCGCAUACGACCUACGGGUGAAAGCAGGGGAACUUCGGGCCUUGCGCGAUUGAAUGAGCCGAUGUCGGAUUUGCGUAGUUGGCGGGGUAAAGGCCUAACAAGGCGACGAUCCGUAGCUGGUGUGUGAGGAUGAUCAGGCACACUGGAACUGAGACACGGUCCAGACUCCGACGGGAGGCAGCAGUGGGGAAUAUUGGACAAUGGGCGCAAGCCUGAACCAGCCAUACCGCGUGGGUGAAGAAGGCCUUCGGGUUGUAAAGCCCUUUUGUUGGGAAAGAAAUCCAGCUGGCUAAUACCCGGUUGGGAUGACGGUACCCAAAGAAUAAGCACCAGCUAACUUCGCGCCAGCCGCCGCCGUAA